rnacentral:rRNA from 1 species
UACGGGAGGCGCAGUGGGGAAUAUUGCACAAUGGGCGAAAGCCUGAUGCAGCAACGCCGCGUGAAGGAUGAAGGCCCUUGGGUCGUAAACUUCUGUUCUAAGGGAAGAUAAUGACGGUACCUUAGGAGCAAGUCCCGGCUAACUACGUGCCAGCAGCCGCGGUAAU